rnacentral:rRNA from 1 species
UACGUAGGGCGCAAGCGUUGUCCGGAAUUAUUGGGCGUAAAGAGCUCGUAGGCGGCUUGUCACGUCGGGUGUGAAAGCCCGGGGCUUAACCCCGGGUCUGCAUUCGAUACGGGCUAGCUAGAGUGUGGUAGGGGAGAUCGGAAUUCCUGGUGUAGCGGUGAAAUGCGCAGAUAUCAGGAGGAACACCGGUGGCGAAGGCGGUUCUCUGGGAAUAUUCUGACGCUGAGGAGCGAAAGUGUGGGGAGCGAACAGG